rnacentral:rRNA from 1 species
UGAGGAAUAUUGGUCAAUGGACGCAAGUCUGAACCAGCCAAGUAGCGUGCAGGAUGACGGCCCUAUGGGUUGUAAACUGCUUUUAUAUGGGGAUAAAGUGGGGAACGUGUUCCCUUUUGCAGGUACCAUAUGAAUAAGGACCGGCUAAUUCCGUGCCAGCAGCCGCGGUAAUACGGAAGGUUCGGGCGUUAUCUGGAUUUAUUGGGUUUAAAGGGAGCGUAGGCCGUUUGGUAAGCGUGUUGUGAAAUGUAGGAGCUCAACUUCUAGAUUGCAGCGCGAACUGUCAGACUUAAGUGCGCACAACGUAGGCGGAAUUCAUGGUGUAGCGGUGAAAUGCUUAGAUAUCAUGAAGAACUCCGAUUGCGAAGGCAGCUUACGGGAGCGCAACUGACGCUGAAGCUCGAAGGUGCGGGUAUCGAACAGG